UCCCUGGAGGACUAGUGGUUACGCCACAGUGCUCCCACCACUGCGGCCCGGGUUGGAUUCCUGGCCAGGGAG
rnacentral:tRNA from 1 species